rnacentral:rRNA from 1 species
CCUACGGGGGGCAGCAGUGGGGAAUAUUGGACAAUGGGGGGAACCCUGAUCCAGCCAUGCCGCGUGUGUGAAGAAGGCCCUCGGGUUGUAAAGCACUUUCAGUGAGGAAGAACGCCUGGUGGUUAAUACCCAUCAGGAAAGACAUCACUCACAGAAGAAGCACCGGCUAACUCCGUGCCAGCAGCCGCGGUAAUACGGAGGGUGCGAGCGUUAAUCGGAAUUACUGGGCGUAAAGCGCGCGUAGGUGGCUUGAUAAGCCGGUUGUGAAAGUCCCGGGCUCAACCUGGGAACGGCAUCCGGAACUGUCAAGCUAGAGUGCAGGAGAGGAAGGUAGAAUUCCCGGUGUAGCGGUGAAAUGCGUAGAGAUCGGGAGGAAUACCAGUGGCGAAGGCGGCCUUCUGGACUGACACUGACACUGAGGUGCGAAAGCGUGGGUAGCAAACAGGAUUAGAUACCCCUGUAGUC